rnacentral:sRNA from 2 species
GCCACCGGGUCGCCGAAUCCUGCCAGCCCGAAUGGCCCCUGACACGUCACGGCAGGAGCGGGGGACCCACCGAUCCACGGCACUCGUGCCUUGGGGUGCAGUCCUCUCGGUCUUCGGACCGGAAGGGCGGGGUGCUUCUCCACCUCAACCCGACAGCUAACUCCGUAGGCGCAGGAGAGUUCGCCA